rnacentral:tRNA from 1 species
GCCUGGCUAGCUCAGUCACUAGAGCAUGAGACUCUUAUUCUCAGGGUCAUGGGUUUGAGCCCCACAUUGGNCA